rnacentral:lncRNA from 1 species
CAAAUUUUACAAUGAUUCGAUAACCAUGUACGUAUAGGGUACUGAUCCGAGCCUCUCCCAAUUCUUUAAUAACUUCAAUGGACCAGGCCAGACUUAAUAAGCCUUUUCACCAGGGCCUUGGCUUCUCAUAGCAUUUGGCAUCACC